GACGAACGCCGGCGGCGUGCUGAACGGGGGCAAGCAGAACGCUGAAGCUUGGUUCUUGCACUGGGUGGAUGAGCGGCGAACGUGUGUGUAAUACGUGAUUAACCUGCUCUCUACACUGGGAUAAUCCUGGGAAACUGGGUCUAAUACUGGAUAUGACAUGCCACUGCAUGGUGGUUUGUGGAAGGGGUUUUACUGUCUUUGGAUGGGCUCACGGCCUAUCAGCUUGGUGGUGGGGUAAUGGCCUACCAAGGCGACGACGUGUAGCCGGCCUGAGAGGGUGACCAGCCUCACUGGGACUGGGACACGGCCCAGACUCCUACGGGAGGCCGAAGUGGGGAAUAUUGCACAAUGGGCGGCAGCCUGAUGCAGCGACGCCGCGUGAGGGAUGACGGCCUUCGGGUUGUAACCCUCUUUCAGCCCGGAAGAAGCGAGAGUGACGUCACGUGCAGCCGAAGCGCCGGCUCACUACGUG
rnacentral:rRNA from 1 species